GGUCAUCCAUUCGUGCCUCCAACUACAAUGUUCCCCUCAGCAGUACAGCACAAAGCACUUCAGCCAGAAAUAGUGAUUCCAAAUUGACGUGGUCUCCUGGUUCAGUUACAAACACCUCUCUGGCUCAUGAGCUGUGGAAAGUCCCUUUACCACCUAAAAACAUCACUGCUCCGUCCCGCCCACCUCCGGGGCUGACUGGUCAGAAGCCACCCUUGUCUACGUGGGAUAAUUCUCCCCUUCGUGUAGGUGGAGGAUGGGGAAAUUCUGACGCCAGAUAUACCCCAGGUAGGACACAAUAGCUACGGUGCUUGAUUAUGGGCUGUUUGUUGAAUAUUGGUUAGUACCGGCUCUCCAAUUUAACAUGGACCAACACUGU
rnacentral:lncRNA from 1 species